UACGGAGGGUGCAAGCGUUAUCCGGAUUCACUGGGUUUAAAGGGUGUGUAGGCGGGUAUUUAAGUCAGUGGUGAAAUCUCCAGGCUCAACCUGGAAACUGCCAUUGAUACUAUUUAUCUUGAAUCCUGUUGAGGUGGGCGGAAUAUAUCAUGUAGCGGUGAAAUGCUUAGAUAUGAUAUAGAAUACCGAUUGCGAAGGCAGCUCACUAAGCAGGUAUUGACGCUGAGGCACGAAAGCGUGGGGAUCAAACAGG
rnacentral:rRNA from 1 species